UGAAUACGAGAUGCUACGGCGUCGAAGCAGUCUAUGUCAUACUUCCAAGAAAAGCUUGCACUGUCAUAAACAAAUAAUGCCUGUACCAUAACCGACACAGGUGGGUAGGUAGAGUAUACUAAGGGGCGCGAGAUAACUCUCUCUAAGGAACUCGGCAAAAUGACUCCGUAACUUCGGGAGAAGGAGUGCCUUAUUUUAUAAGGUUGCAAUAACAAGAUCCAAGCAACUGUUUACCAAAAACACAGGUCUCCGCUAAGUCGUAAGACGAUGUAUGGGGGCUGACGCCUGCCCAGUGCCAGAAGGUUAAAGAAGUUGGUUAGCAUCCGCGAAGCUGAUAACUGAAGCCCUGGUGAACGGCGGCCGUAACAAUAACGGUCCUAAGGUAGCGAAAUUCCUUGUCGGGUAAGUUCCGACCCGCACGAAAGGCGUAAUGAUUUGGAUACUGUCUCAGAGAGGGGCUCGGUGAAAUAGACUUGUCUGUGAAGAUGCGGACUACCUGCACCAGGACAGAAAGACCCUAUGAAGCUUUACUGUAACUUGAAAUUGAAAUUGGACUUUACUUGCGCAGCAUAGGUGGGAGGCGUUGAUAAUAUUCUUGCGGGAAUGUUGGAGCCACCAGUGAGAUACCACUCUUGUAAUGUUAGAUUUCUAACUUUGUAUCAUUAUCUGGUCAAAGGACAGUUUCAGGCGGGCAGUUUGACUGGGGCGGUCGCCUCCCAAACGGUAACGGAGGCGCACAAAGGUUUCCUCUGAACGGGUAGAAAUCGUAUCUAGAGUGUAAAGGCAUAAGGAAGCUUGACUGUGAGACCUACAAGUCGAGCAGGGACGAAAGUCGGUCUUAGUGAUCUGACGGUGCUGAGUGGAAAGGCCGUCACUCAACGGAUAAAAGUUACUCUAAGGAUAACAGGCUGAUCUCCCCCAAGAGUUCACAUCGACGGGGAGGUUUGGCACCUCGAUGUCGGCUCAUCGCAUCCUGGGGCGGUAGUACGUCCUAAGGGUUGGGCUGUUCGCCCAUGAAAGCGGUACGCGAGCUGGGUUCAGAACGUCGUGAGACAGUUCGGUCCAUAUCCGGUGUAGGCGUUAGAAUAUUGAGAGGAGCCUUCUUUAGUACGAGAGGACCGAGAAGGACAUACCUCUGGUGUACCAGUUAUCGUGCCAACGGUAAACGCUGGGUAGCUAUGUAUGGAGUGGAUAACCGCUGAAAGCAUCUAAGUGGGAAGCCCACCUCAAGAUAAGUAUUC
rnacentral:rRNA from 1 species